GUUAAAGACGGAAGCAGGAAGUGUGGGUGAUCAUGGAGGACAAACAAAGCGCUCUGCCGGUUCUGCCCAAACACUCGUACUGGUUUGAUUUCUACUUGUUUUUGCUGUUUGAUUUCAUCCUCUUCUUCAUCUUUUACUUCAUUAUUCCAUAAGCGCGUUCAGCAUAUGAACCAAUCAGAUUCACCAAAGAAACUCUGAACCGCCGCUGAGAUGGACAGUAACAGCGGUGUCUGCAGGACUUACACAUUCCAGCCUUACUUCUGAAACGUCCCUGCAGACAGAAAACUAAUGUACUGAACAAGCUUCAUGCCACACUGUGCUCAGAGAUUAACAUGGAUUGUUUAUUAACAUGAGGAAAUUACAGUGUGCAUGUGUGUAAGAAUUAAAUCCUUAUGAGUGA